UUUAAUAUGGCAGAUUAGUGCAAUGAAUUUAAGUUUCAUAAAUAAAAUGAUUAUUUUUAUUAAAA
rnacentral:tRNA from 1 species